rnacentral:misc_RNA from 1 species
GAUGAAGAACGCAGUGAAAUGCGAUAAGUAAAGUGAAUUGCAGAAUUCAGUGAAUCAUCGAAUCUUUGAACGCACAUUGCGCCCGCCAGUACUCUGGCGGGCAUGCCUGUUCGAGCGUCAUUUCAACCCUCGGGCCCCGCAUUCGUGCGGGCCCCGGCGUUGGGGACCGGCCUCCGCAUCGGACGGCCGCCCCCGAAACCCAGUGGCGGUCCCGCCGCGGCCUUCUCUGCGUAGUAGCAUACACCUCGCACUGGAGAGCGGCGCGGCCACGCCGUAAAAGAAACGAACUUUCUGAAGGUUGACCUCGGAUCAGGUAGGAAUACCCGCUGAACUUAAGCAUAUCAAUAAGCGGAGGA